GCGCGCUCCGGCCCGGCCGGGGGCCGUUUCCAUUCCUGGGGACCCCGGGGUGAAAGAAUGAGAGAAGCCGGCCAGAGGGCGCCGCGCCGCUCCCUCGCAGGCCCCUGCCCCCCUCCUCGCCGGUCCGCCUCUCCCUCGCUGUGCACCGCGCUGGCUGCGGGGCCACCGCGCGCUGGCGCGGCCGGAAUUGCCUCCCCUUCGUCCGGCCCCAGCCCAGUCGUCCCGCUGGGCGCCGGCUGGCCGAACUCCGGCCCGGCUAGGAAAGGAGCCCACUCCCGGAUGGCCUGACAUGCUGAAGACCCAGAGAAGAUUGCAGUUCGAGUCCAAAGGCACUCUGCUUACAGAAUUCCUUCUUCAUCAGAGGAGAGGCGCCUGGGUGGCUCAGUGGUGAAGUGUGCAACUCUUGAUCUCGGCCUUGUGAGUUUGAACUCCGUGUUGGGUGAAGAGACUACUUAAAAAUAAAAUCUUAAAAAAAUAAAAAUAAAAAUACCUUCACAGAAACAUCUAGAAUAAUGUUUGUCCAA